CGCAGACGUUUAAGGCACGUUUAUACCAGUUCGACGCUUGCUUUCAUGCAGUUCUUCUAGCGCUACCAUUGUCAUCCAAGCUGUCAAAAGCCAAAGGCGCAUUGACAGCGCAAAUACAAAUCGUAAAAUAAACAAACAAAACCGCUUUGUGAUAUUUUACAUUUUAUUACUAAAACCAGUUGUUAUUCGUUGGGAUAUCAUCGUAUCCAUUUUGUUCGAGCAUUUUGCUGAAAGGAAAACAUAAAGGAAAAAUGUCCCGGGAAUCGGUAUCUCAGGCACCGGAUUGUUCGCUUCUUGCGUUGGCGGCUAGGUUGGCACAGUUAACGAAUAAAUCCUGUCCGCCAGUAUCGUCAGUAUCAAAGCUACUGCAGAACCGUCAUCCUUCUAUAGGAUUAAAAAUAAUGCUUUGAUGGAAACUUCAGCUAAAAUCUCCAAGCCAGCAACUUCCAGAACAGCGCAAUCCAUCAUCAUUCCAGUCCGAUUAACUGUGAAUAGAUUUUCGCAGCAAAUAGCAUCACCACCGGCAGCUUAUAAUUCUGAAAUAAAAAAGAAAAAAGGUUAUCGACCAACACCUGUAGUUAAAAAUCCAUCCAAUCCCGAACCAGCAUCAAACAUCAUCAAAGAUAUCUUCUUCAUACAGCAUAACACUGCCAGGGUUUGGAACUUCCUCCUUAUCCUCUUCCCUUGGUCCAAAGUAGUUCGGCAUAGUCCAUAGGCCAUCGUCAGUCCAGGUUGGCAUUGUCCACCGGUGUGUUCGUACCUUGUUUUCCUCCUUCCCAACCAAACCCAGUAUCGCGUGCAGAAGCUGAAAUUAAAACGUAAAGGAAAAAAUGUCUCGGGAAUCGGUAUCUAAGGCACCGGAUUGCUCGCUUCUUGCGUUGGCGGCUAGGUUGCCACAGUUAACAAUUAAAUCCUGCCCGCCAGUAUCUACCGUUAAAGCUUCCCAGCAAACAACAUCACCAUCGACAGCUAAAACAGAUAAAAGCAUAUCCCAUAGUCACAAAAACAGAAAAAAUAUAACGCCCAACACCUUUAGUUAAAAAUCCAUGCAGUAACAACCAGCAUCGAACAUCUUCAAGGUUACCUGUAUAUAGUAUAACACCAUCCAGCAUCGCUUCAGCACCACCGACAGCUUGCCUUCCUGAGAAUGUAGGA